GUGGAACUAGCUCAGUGGAAAGAGCAACGAGCUUUUGACUCGUGUGUCAUGGGUUCGACUCCCAUGUUCCUCACCU
rnacentral:tRNA from 1 species